rnacentral:piRNA from 1 species
UCAAGACAGAUGGGGACCCAUUUUAAC